GGACUACCAGGGUUUCUAAUCCUGUUUGCUCCCCACGCUUUCGCGCCUCAGCGUCAGUAUCGGUCCAGAGAGCCGCCUUCGCCACCGGUGUUCUUCCCAAUAUCUACGAAUUUCACCUCUACACUGGGAAUUCCACUCUCCUCUCCCGAACUCAAGCAGAACAGUAUCAAGCGCUAUUCCCAGGUUGAGCCCGGGGCUUUCACGCCUAACUUGAACCGCCGCCUACGCGCCCUUUACGCCCAGUAAUUCCGAACAACGCUAGCCCCCUUCGUAUUACCGCGGCGGCUGGCAC
rnacentral:rRNA from 1 species